rnacentral:rRNA from 1 species
AGAGUUUGAUCCUGGCUCAGAACGAACGCUGGCGGCAGGCUUAACACAUGCAAGUCGAACGCACCGCAAGGUGAGUGGCAGACGGGUGAGUAACGCGUGGGAACCUUCCCUUUGGUACGGAAUAACUUCGGGAAACCGAAGCUAAUACCGUAUAUCUCCUCCGGGAGAAAGAUUUAUCGCCAAAGGAUGGGCCCGCGUUGGAUUAGCUAGUUGGUAGGGUAAUGGCCUACCAAGGCGACGAUCCCAUAGCUGGUCUGAGAGGAUGAUCAGCCACACUGGGACUGAGACACGGCCCAGACUCCUACGGGAGGCAGCAGUGGGGAAUAUUGGACAAUGGGCGAAAGCCUGAUCCAGCCAUGCCGCGUGAGUGAAGAAGGCCUUAGGGUUGUAAAGCUCUUUUGGCGGGGACGAUAAUGACGGUACCCGCAGAAUAAGCCCCGGCUAACUUCGUGCCAGCAGCGGC